GCUUAAAAAUUAAAAUCACCUUCCCGAACUGUACUUUAAAGGGUGGCGGAAUCAGAAGCCAGAUGUCAAAGCGUUUGUGCGUGAGGAGUGAUGUGAACAAAGAUGGUCCUGAGAGUCUGUCAGUGUAGGAGGGGAGAGAUGCAGAGAAGAUGUGAGAGACUAGAGCCCCGAGGAAGAGAAUUCAGAAGGUUACUUCAUGGAGUUGCUGUUGAUACCACCUGCUAGACACUGCCAAGAACCAAGUCACUUCAGUCUACAUGGAGAAAGCUACUGAUCCCACAGAAAACGGAACUAAGGUGUAACCUCUACAGAGAGAGGGAACCCAGGCCCCAUUCAACUGCUACAUGGCUUAGUCCAGUCAACCCAAUGACAACAGAGACAUCUAAAGACUGAUACUCUGAACAGUUGACCAGAUAAUCAGCCCUUUAAUUAGCAACCUUGGAUAUACCCAUUAUAUCAGAGCAGAAUGCCCAAGUACCUAAGGAUCACAAAGAAAAUAUACAGCUAAACUCAGUCUAAGCGAUGUGUGAUAAAGUCAAUAAGUUUCUCACAUAUGCUUCCUGGUGAGAUAGGGGUGAAGUACCCAAAUUAAGGGUUGCAAAGAGAAUUUAAAAUCACGUCUUGGCAUGUGAUUAUCAAGACAGAAUAAGCAAUGAGUUGUAAUUCAUCUUCUAAAUAAGAGGAGGAAUGAUCUAAACCAAUAAAGAUGGAGAUAUUCUAAGAC
ensembl:antisense Grip1os2 glutamate receptor interacting protein 1, opposite strand 2